rnacentral:miRNA from 4 species
AUUGUGUCAAUAUGCGAUGAUGU